rnacentral:rRNA from 1 species
CGGCCCGUAGAGUUUGAUCAGGUUCAGGAUGAACGCUGGCGGCUUGCUUAACACAUGCAAGUCGAGCGAUCUUUUCUGAGAGAGCGGCAGACGCGUGAGUAACGCGUGGGUAACCUGCCACUGUACACACGGAUAACAUACCGAAAGGUAUACUAAUACGGGAUAACAUACGAAAGUCGCAUGGCUUUUGUAUCCAAGCUCGGGCGGUACAGGAUGGACCCGCGUCUCAUUAGCUAGUUGGUAAGGUAAUGGCUUACCAAGGCAACGAUCAGUAGCCGACCUGAGAGGGUGAUCGGCCACACUGGAACUGAGACACGGUCCAGACUCCUACGGGAGGCAGCAGUGGGGAAUAUUGCACAAUGGGCGAAAGCCUGAUGCAGCAACGCCGCGUGAGCGAUGAAGGCCUUCGGGUCGUAAAGCUCUGUCCUCAAGGAAGAUAAUGACGGUACUUGAGGAGGAAGCCCCGGCUAACUACGUGCCAGCAGCCGCGGUAAUACGUAGGGGGCUAGCGUUAUCCGGAAUUACUGGGCGUAAAGGGUGCGUAGGUGGUUUUUUAAGUCAGAAGUGAAACCCUACGGCUCAACCGUAGUAAGCUUUUGAAACUAGAGAACUUGAGUGCAGGAGAGGAGAGUAGAAUUCAUAGUGUAGCGGUGAAAUGCGUAGAUAUUAGGAGGAAUACCAGUAGCGAAGGCGCUCUCUGGACUGUAACUGACACUGAGGCACGAAAGCGUGGGGAGCAAACAGGAUUAGAUACCCUGGUAGUCCACGCCGUAAACGAUGAGUACUAGGAGUCGGGGGCUACCCCCCUCGGUGCCGCAGCUAACGCAUAAGUAGUCCGCCUGGAGACUCAAUGU